rfam:Dipodomys ordii contig_46224, whole genome shotgun sequence.
GGUGGCUCAGUGGUAGAGUGCUUGCCUUGCAUUCAAGAGGCCCUGGGUUCGAUUCCUCAGCACCA